AUUGAACGCUGGCGGCAGGCCUAACACAUGCAAGUCGAGCGGAUGAAAGGGGCUUGCUCCUGGAUUCAGCGGCGGACGGGUGAGUAAUGCGCAGGAAUCUACCUAGUAGUGGGGGAUAACGUUUCGAAAGGAACGCUAAUACCGCAUACGUUCUGAGGAAGAAAGCGGGGGACUCGCAAGAGCCUCGCGCUAUUGGAGCGGCCGAUGUCAGAUUAGGUAGUUGGUGGGGUAAAAGCCUACCAAGCCGACGAUCUGUAGCUGGUCUGAGAGGACGACCAGCCACACUGGGACUGAGACACGGCCCAGACUCCUACGGGAGGCAGCAGUGGGGAAUUUUGGACAAUGGGCGCAAGCCUGAUCCAGCCAUGCCGCGUGCGGGAAGAAGGCC
rnacentral:rRNA from 1 species